AAGUACUCUAGGAGUCAGAAUUAACUUCAGCUGCAAUUAUCAGGGGUAAGAAUAUUAAAAAUAAUAGUAACUGAAACAAAGUUAUCUAAGUUACAUAUUUAUCUAAUAUAUCUGGAAACAGGCUGGUGGCCUGUAUCUGGUGGCUCUAAAAUCAUCAUGCCACAGCUAUUUAUAGCUGUCCACUUCACCAUUCUUAGGGUGUGGCCCUCAUUCUCAUGGUCCAAGAUAGCUGCCAGGGCUCCAGCUUUAUUUCAUAUUUCAGGUAGCAGAUUGGAGGAAGGGAACAAGAAGGGAGCAAAGGGCACAUGACAGCUGUCUUUCGAGUUGGUUUCCUCAGAAGCACGCACAUUACUUUUUAUAACUCAUUGGCCAAAACUUAGUCACACAGUCACAAUAGUUACAAGGAAAGAUAGGGAAUACAGAACUUUUAGCUAGGCACUAGAGUGACAUCAGUGGGAAUGGCAAAAUAAAGAUCUCUAAAAAUCCAUUUCUCCAUAAAAGUAAUGAGAACACAGGCAAAAAUUGUCAAAAUGUUUUCCAGAAUGCUGGAUAUAAAUCAAAGACUUGGAAUAAUCCAAGAAGCAUUUAUCCAGGAAAAGUUGCUGAAUCAAGGGCCAUGUGAAGGCUUUCUCUGAAAAAGCUCGUCUAAUCCCACGGCUCCAGUUACCAAAUCUGUGCUGAUUUUUCUAGAACUUAGUCUCCAGCCUAAGUCUUUCUCUGAAACUCCAGCGCCUUAUACCCAAUGGCCUCCUGAACAACUCCCCUUGGAUAUUCUGCAGACUUCGUAGUGGGUGUGGAGUGGUAUCUCAUUGUGGUUUUGAUUUUCCUGAUGGCCAGUGAUGGUAGACAUUGCGCCAUCAGCCGGGCUCCUGGAAGGGAAUCAAGUGGAGCAGAGAGAAUCUAAGACCAACGCAAGCCUGGCCAACCCACGUGCAGCACACAGACCAGUGAGAGAAAAAAAAGUAUCUGUCACCGUAAAUCACUGAUGGUUGGGGCUUGUUCGUUAUAGAACAUUUUUGCAGCAAAACCUGACCAAUAGAAUC